rnacentral:tRNA from 1 species
GCACCUGUGGCUCAGUGGGUAGGGCGCUGGCCUCAUAUACCAAGUGUGGUGGGUUCGAACCCGGCCCCGGGCA